AUUGAACGCUGGCCGCAGGCCUAACACAUGCAAGUCGAGCGAGCGGCGGACGGGUGAGUAAUGUCUGGGAAACUGCCUGAUGGAGGGGGAUAACUACUGGAAACGGUAGCUAAUAUCGCAUACCAUCAGAUGUGCCCAGGUGGGAUUAGCUAGUGGGUGGGGUAAUGGCUCACCUAGGCGACGAUCCCUAGCUGGUCUGAGAGGCUGACCGGCCACACUGUGACUGAGGCACGGUCCAGACUCCUACGGGAGGCAGCAGUGGGGAAUAUUGCACAAUGGGCGCAAGCCUAAUACAGCCAUGCCGCGUGUGUGAAGAAGGCCUUCGGGGUAUAAAGCACUUUCAGCGGGGAGGCGUUACCCGCAGAAGAAGCACCGGCUAACUCCGUGCCAGCCGCCGCGGUAAUAC
rnacentral:rRNA from 1 species